GACGAACGCUGGCGGCGUGCCUAAUACAUGCAAGUCGAACGAGAGCGCCCGGUGCUUGCGCUGGUCAAUCUAGUGGCGAACGGGUGAGUAACACGUGGGUAACCUGCCCAUCAGAGGGGGAUAACAUCCGGAAACGGAUGCUAAAACCGCAUAGGUCUUCGAGCCGCAUGGCUUGAAGAGGAAAAGAGGCGCAAGCUUCUGCUGAUGGAUGGACCCGCGGUGCAUUAGCUAGUUGGUGAGGUAACGGCUCACCAAGGCCGUGAUGCAUAGCCGACCUGAGAGGGUGAUCGGCCACAUUGGGACUGAGACACGGCCCAAACUCCUACGGGAGGCAGCAGUGGGGAAUCUUCCGCAAUGGACGCAAGUCUGACGGAGCAACGCCGCGUGAGUGAAGAAGGUUUUCGGAUCGUAAAACUCUGUUGUUAGAGAAGAACAAGUGCUAGAGUAACUGUUAGCGCCUUGACGGUAUCUAACCAGAAAGCCACGGCUAACUACGUG
rnacentral:rRNA from 1 species